AUGUAUCUCUAUGACAUGAAACUGAUGUGCUCUGUUUUUCCUUCCUCGGCCACCCAGCACCUGGAGAGACUGGCUGAGGUCAUGGGGACGGCUUGUCUCCUGUCGGGGAAGAAAGACCUCACUGACCAUUUCUUGAUUGCCGUCAGUAAACUGGCUGUGGACCCCGCACAGGAAGUCAGGCAUCAUGGUCGCAAUAUCUUGAGAAACGUGGCCACCAAUGGCGACUUUGCUAAAAUGUGGGACAAAUUCGCUCUGAGGAAAGAGCGAGAAUUAACCUCAAAGAAAGGGAUAUCUGAAUAAUCCCCAACUUGAGUAUUAUCCCCUCCAGUCCCCAAACUCCAAUACUUUCGCUCAUUCUAAGAAAUUUGACACUAUAAUCCAAACCCCCAUGUAAAUGCAUCUUUAAACUGCAUUGACUCCUUGUCCAAGUCCUGAAUCCACUAUAAGGCAAUACGAACCACAUUCAAAGCAAUAAAUUACCUUUCCUCGAAGCGCCUAUCUGAUCUACCAGCUCAAUAGUGGUCUACUGAAACCAUACACACCAUCUCAGGGGGUGCUCAGAUCAUCAACCACUGACCUCCACACCAUCCUCAAAACCAGCAGUCCUCUUUUGGAGGCAGAUUGGUCAGUACUCCUGUAUGGCACCAACAUUGUGGAUUUUCAUCCAAUACUUCUGGACUAUAAGAACAUUCUUUGGACAAUAAAAUGAGGUCAAAUGGAAGCUGGCUACAGUCUCAGUUUUAUCCUCCAAGGCAGUGUGAGGAUGUGUAACAACAAUAUCUGGGGUUUAACUUGAUGAUCAGGGCCAGAUUACCGAAUGGGCACGCAGGGCACCUGCCCUGUGGGCCCCGACCUCCAGGGGAAAUCAUCAUAACAUCCAAAACUAAAAGUAUUGUGGAUGUAUAGCUCGUUUCAUAGUUUGUAGCCAUGUUUUAUAUACAUUUGUGCAUAUUUUGUGGAAAUUCCUGAGCAUUUA
rnacentral:lncRNA from 1 species